GGAGAGAUGGGUGAGUGGCUGAAACCAGCAGUUUGCUAAACUGCCGUACCCGUAAGGGUACCGAGGGUUCGAAUCCCUCUCUCUCCGCCU
rnacentral:tRNA from 1 species